CUGGCAGGAAGCCUGCAUGGAGAAGAGGCCACUUGGAGACCACGGAGGAGGCAGCUAUCUGCGAAGCCCGGGGGAUAUUCCUUGAUGGACAACAGGUUUACAUCCUGGAAAAUCCAAGGCAAACUGAAAAUACGGGUUCUAAGGGUUGGAGAAUCAGGAAAUGGUCUGAAAUGGGGAA